GUUCAUGCCCUCACGGGUAGACCUCCCACCCUUGUGUAUUUAUACUUUNUUGCUUUGGCGAGCUGCCCUGGGCUUAACUGCCUCANAGCCUCAAGCUUUCGAGCCUGAGAGUCGCUCGCCGGAGGAAAACUAAACCCUGAUAAUUAAUGUCGUCUGAGUACUAUAUAAUAGUUAN
rnacentral:rRNA from 1 species